UCUUGGGCCACUCCCAUGACAUAUGGAGGUUCCCAGGCUACGGGUCGAAUUGGAGAUGUAGCCGCCAGCCUACGCCACAGCCAUAGCAACUUGGGAUCCGAGCUGCGUCUGCAACCUACACCACAGCUCAUGGCAAUGCCAGACCCUUAACCCACUGAGCAAGGCCAGGGAUCGAACCUGCAACCUCACAGUUCCUAGUCGGAUUUGUUAACCACUGCGCCACUACGGGAACUCCUUAAUCUUCUCUUCUUACAAAGACAUCUGUCAUAUUGGACUAGGACCCACCCAUAUAUCUGACCUUAUUUUAUCAUUCUUAGCUGUUCAAAGACACUAUCUCUGGAGUGAAGUUAAGGAUCUGGCACUGUCACUGCAGCAGCUCAGGGAUGCUGCUAUGGCAUGGAUUUGUUCCUGGUCCACAAACUUCCACAUGCCAUGGGUGUGGUCAAAAAAUAAUAAUAAAGACCCUGUCUCCAAAUACAGCUAUAUUCUGAGGCACUGUGCAUUAGGACUUCAAAAUGUGAAUUGAGAGGGGACACUAUUCAGCCCAUAACAAUUAUAUUUCAUUCUAAGGGAAUAUUAUCAACCAAGUGAGGAAUGCUAAAUGUCUUAAAAUCUCUGCUUCCUCACUUCUCUACAAGCUGCUUGUCAUUUUAUGGGGUUAUUAAUAUCUCCACCAGCCAUCUAGUUGAUGCUAGGAGGAUGUAACUCAAAAUCAUUUUAUUAUUUACUCAGAUACGUUUUCUUCCUCAUUUAUAAGUAUUGUAAAGUUAAUACAAGUGAGAAAAAAAUUUGUCUGGUAUUUCACCAACCGUAAUGAAGUAUACUCUAACAUUUAUAAUUGCUAGUUCAGUUAAGUACUAUGUAAGAAUUCACAGGUGAUAUUGUUAUAAAAUAAUGAACCAGAUGGAAACGUUUGCCUCAUUACUUCUUGGUUAUUUCCCAUAAAGUUAAUACUUCACUACCUGAAUGGUUUGGAAGAGAACAACUCUUCCUUUGCUGAAUCAGGGAAUCUGAUUAUCACACAUCAUUAAUCUAAUGACAAAGAGCCUUUUUUAAAAAAAUGAGUAGGUCAAACAGUCUUAGUGAGAUCAACUUUUAAUGCUGUACCCAUUAUUUUCACGACACGUAUAUUUUUAAAAUGCCUUCAAAUUUACAGAGCAUUUUCCCAUAGUUUUCCAAAAAAUUUUCACAAGUAUAAAUUAAAUGUGUUCUCAUUCUCAUUUACAGACAAGGAAACUGAGGCUCAGAGGUUUUUUUGUGUGACAUGUCCAGGGAUAUAGUUAAUAAAUAGCACAGCUAGGACUAGAACUGUCUGAUUCUAACCCAGAGCUGACCUAUUUUUUAAUAUCCAUACUAAUGUCAAUUUCUAAAUGAUCUCUCCCAAAAUAUGCCUUCAUGAGAAAAGGAUUUCACGGUCAAAUACAUUUGGAGAAAACUGUCUGCUAAAUUCCUCAUUGGUAGAAUCACAGACUUGUUACUUUUAAAGGCUGUGAGGACUACUGAAUUAAUGAAGUCCAUUUAACAUUGUUUAAUCUAAACUUAUUCCCAGGUUUAAUUAAUCAUUGAAAUUUUUCCCCAUGUAAUUGCUACUAACAUCCAGAGUACCUGCAUUAAUAACUGUUCUAAAUGAACAACUUUUUAUCAACUAUGUUAAAAGGCCUAGGUGCUACAAAAGGCCAUAUUUCAGAGGAGAGUUUAGGAAAAUUAGAGCAGGAAAGUGUCCUGAAAAGAACAAAGGAAGUGUUUGCUUUUAUUUUUUAGUUUGUAGCCAAAAGAAUUUGCUACGCUAUAAAUGCCAUAAAAGUAAGAACUACCUCUACACUUUUUAUGAGACAUGUAGUACAAUCCACAAUUAAAAAUAUAUGUUUAACGGAGAAAAAUGACAUGAAUUUCUCAUCAGUACUAAUCAGCCAUAAACAAUUUUUUAUCAGAAAACAGAAAAAAACUAAGCUUAUUUUUCUAUUUGACAAGCGGCAUGGCACUGAGGUGGUAUUCUGAUGUAAAAAGAUCGUUUGGAAAAAAAAAAGCUUUUUAAGGGUCUUUAAGGGACUUCUCAGCAUCAUCACUUAAUGACUUGAUCAAUGCCCCAGGCAGAAUUUUCUUAAAGGGUCACAUUAAUGCAAAUGAUGUACCAGAGGGUCUUCAAAUGUAUUAGAAAAUAUUAAUCUUGCAAUUGAAGAGAAGAAAAAUUGUUUCCUAAUGGUACUUUUUUUUCCUUAAUAAUCAAUUUUCAUUCCUUUCCCCCCUUUUCUAGUCAUUCUCAUUCACUUACUUUAACCAACGUGAAUUCCUUAUUUCAGAACUCUUACAGUAAAAGAAUUUCAAAAGUCAGGCAGAGUGGGUGGAAAUUGAUAGCGUGAUAUAUAAAUUCUUCAGAUGAGUAUUAAUUUAGCAGAUUCUGCUCCUCUCUCCCUCUACCAAAGUGGAACAGAAAGCUGAAAUCUAAAGCGUUUAAUUAUACCACAUUUCAGUCAGUUCACUAGAUUAUAUUCUUAGCUCCAUGAAUUGCCCAUGAGUGAGAACUCUGCUUGUGAUAAAAGGUCAAAAACAAUUUUGAACAAUACAAUUUUUCUCCAAAUAUUUAGUUCUUGCCUGCAUAAUUAUCUACAUGUACACAUGUGUAUACACACACACACACCACAUACAUGGAGUUUAGCAACUUCUCUUUCAAAAAAUAACAUUGUCAUUGGUAAGAGAAUUUGAAAAGCCAGCAGCCAUUGAGAAAAUCUGAAAACAGCUUGGGGACUACCAAAUUAUAGCACACUUGGAUUUAAUCCUAGAGCUUGCUCCCUGUUACCCUUAUCCACAAAUACUAGGAAUUUCAUCUUGCUCUAACUGCAAUGCCAGAUCCAAGACAUGUCUGUGACCUCCACCACAGCUCAUGGCAACACCAAGUCCUUAACCCACUGAGUGAGGCUAAGGACCGAACCCAUAUCCUCAUGGAUACUAGUCGGGUUUGUAACCUGCUGAGCCACAACAGGAACUCUUUACACGCAAGGAAAUAUUUAACGGCUCAUCUGCAGUUUUAGGAGAGUGAAGCAGGAAUGAAAAAUUGGGUCGGUUUCAAUUCAAAUAGAUGUUGUCGUACAUGAGUCUCUUUAAACUAAAAACAGAAAAGCUAGGAAUCUGUUCUGUGCAGUUUUGGCAAUCGACGUU
rnacentral:lncRNA from 1 species